rfam:Triticum aestivum genome assembly, contig: Triticum_aestivum_CS42_TGACv1_scaffold_160980_2DL
ACGACCUUACUUGAACAGGAUCUGUUCUAUAGGAUUCGUACCGUUGCAUCCUUGACUAAUAAGGAGGCAAGUGCUUAAGCUUGGUUGAUGACAUCUGACCUGUGGGCCAGAGCAUGAUUAACGGCUCGAAUCUGUUAAGGUUGGUAGUGCUGAAGAUCAUCCAAGUUGCUAGUAUCCUUUUUCGAGGGAACCAGUUAAGUUGCCGCUAGCCUGCUUACCUGGAU